rnacentral:rRNA from 1 species
CCUCCCAUUGGUCAUAGAUUUGUCUUAAAGAUUCCGCCUUGUAUGUCUAAAUGUAAAUGAGGUAUGCACUGGGAAACUGCGAAUGGUUCAAUAAAACGUUUGUAUUUUACUCUUUGAUGUCUUGUUCCCUGAAUAACUGCUGUAAUUCUGGAGCUAAUACACUCCCCAAGUGGGGGACCGGGGCAUCUCGGGAGCCCCUUAUUUAUAAGAGAAAAGGCCUUCUGCGGCUGGGGGGGCAACCUCCGGAACCCAUCAACAAACGGUGAACCGUGGAAACUUCACGAAUCGUAUGGCCCAGCCCCGGCAACAAAUCAUUCAGUUUUCUGCCGGAUCAACUCGCUAUGGAAUUGUAUGGGCCUCCCAUGGUCUUACCGGGUGACCGAGAAUUAGGGUUCGUUUCUGGAAAGGGAACCCGAGAGACGGCUCCCAUUCCCAAGGAAGGCAGCAGGCGCGCAAAUUACCCAGUCCUUAUCCGGGAAGGAAGUGACAAUAAAUAACAUUACGGGCUUUUUCAUUGGUCCCUUCAUUGGAUUGCGUACAAUCCAACCUCUUUAACGAGAAACAAUUGGAGGGCA